UGUUGCAGAUGCAAUGAGCGAGGUAUUUAUGCUCAGAAUUCUGCAACUGUUGUGCUAGCAGUGAAACUUCAUUAAGAUCAGCUUAGUAUGCAGAUUUGGCUUCAGGACAGGGACUAGAGUCGCAAAAUGUUUUGUGGCAUAAAUUGCCAAUGCGUAUGCACUACAGGUUUUCUUGUGGAUUUAGUAGGUGAAAUACAAAACUGGGAGGAUGUAAUACAAUUUAAUUAUAAGAGCUUAAUUUCAGUAUUCCACUGUGCCUGUUGUGACUUGUGAGGAGCCUGAAUGGUCUUGUGAGAAAAGUAUUAAGAGUAUUUCUUUCCUUUUUCUUCUAAAAAAAAAAAAAAAAAUGCAAGGUUUAUCUUUAAGAUGUGACUAGAGGGACAUGUACAUGCUAGAUGUAGGUCAUGCCUAGAGGGAAAUACUGAGAUAAAGUUGUUGAUUGCUUAUUGCUGGAAAAGGGCUGGAAAGCACAGAACUGUGUAGUCUGGUUCUGGUAUAUCUUAAGUGGAGCAUUUUGUCCUAGAGGAUUAAUUAUUCUCUCAGGGUUUAGAGCUUUGCAUGUACAUUAAAGCAAAAUUAUGUACUUCCUUGUUGCUAGCUCUUUUGUUUCUUGGAUUUCCUGGAUAAGUGCUGGGUUCUUCACUUACUUUUACCUUUCUGCCACGGAGCAUCUCUUGCUUAUUUUUUGAGUUAUCAGUAGCUUUUUUUUUUUUUUUU
rnacentral:misc_RNA from 1 species